GAUGAACGCUGGCGGCGUGCCUAAUACAUGCAAGUCGAGCGAACAGACGAGGAGCUUGCUCCUCUGACGUUAGCGGCGGACGGGUGAGUAACACGUGGAUAACCUACCUAUAAGACUGGGAUAACUUCGGGAAACCGGAGCUAAUACCGGAUAAUAUAUUGAACCGCAUGGUUCAAUAGUGAAAGACGGUUUUGCUGUCACUUAUAGAUGGAUCCGCGCCGCAUUAGCUAGUUGGUAAGGUAACGGCUUACCAAGGCAACGAUGCGUAGCCGACCUGAGAGGGUGAUCGGCCACACUGGAACUGAGACACGGUCCAGACUCCUACGGGAGGCAGCAGUAGGGAAUCUUCCGCAAUGGGCGAAAGCCUGACCGAGCCACGCCGCGUGAGUGAAGAAGGUCUUCGGGUCGUAAAACUCUUUUAUUAGGGAAGAACAAAUGUGUAAGUAACUCUGCACGUCUUGACGGUACCUAAUCAGAAAGCCCCGGCUAACUUCGUG
rnacentral:rRNA from 1 species